GACGAACGCUGGCGGCGUGCUUAACACAUGCAAGUCGAACGGAAAGGCCUGCUUUCCCUUGUGGAUUGCGGGUACUCGAGUGGCGAACGGGUGAGUAACACGUGAGUGAUCUGCCCCCAACUUGGGUAUAAGCCUGGGAAACUGGGUCUAAUUCCCGAUAGGACUGCAGGGUGGUGCCUGUGGUGGAAAACGAUUUUCUAGUGGUUGGGGAUGAGCUCGCGGCCUAUCAGCUUGUUGGUGGGAUAAUGGCCUACCAAGGCGGCGACGGGUAGCCGGCCUGAGAGGGUGGACGGCCACAUUGGGACUGAGAUACGGCCCAGACUCCUACGGGAGGCAGCAGUGGGGAAUAGUGCACAAUGGGCGGAAGCCUGAUGCAGCGACGCCGCGUGGGGGAUGACGGCCUUCGGGUUGUAAACUCCUUUCGACCGCGAGGAAGCCACCUGGUUGGAAGGGUGGUGACGGUAGUGGUAGAAGAAGCACCGGCUAACUACGUG
rnacentral:rRNA from 1 species